rnacentral:rRNA from 1 species
GACGAACGCUGGCGGCGUGCUUAACACAUGCAAGUCGAACGGAAAGGCCCUGCUUUUGUGGGGUGCUCGAGUGGCGAACGGGUGAGUAACACGUGAGUAACCUGCCCUUGACUUUGGGAUAACUCCAGGAAACUGGGGCUAAUACCGGAUAGGAGCUCCUGCCGCAUGGUGGGGGUUGGAAAGUUUCGGCGGUUGGGGAUGGACUCGCGGCUUAUCAGCUUGUUGGUGGGGUAGUGGCUUACCAAGGCUUUGACGGGUAGCCGGCCUGAGAGGGUGACCGGCCACAUUGGGACUGAGAUACGGCCCAGACUCCUACGGGAGGCAGCAGUGGGGAAUAUUGCACAAUGGGCGGAAGCCUGAUGCAGCAACGCCGCGUGCGGGAUGACGGCCUUCGGGUUGUAAACCGCUUUCGCCUGUGACGAAGCGUGAGUGACGGUAAUGGGUAAAGAAGCACCGGCUAACUACGUG